GGGUUAAUGUGUUAAUAAUCACCUAACCUAGACCUUGAAUCUACUCCCCCUAACCUUCUAAAUCAUCGACCCAUAACACAUAACCCUUCUAAAGAUGCAAUGUGAUUUAUUCCCAUUGCUCUGCAUGUCAAAGUGAAGAAAUUCAACCAAGCGUGGGUAAACAAUAGGCGUAACUAUGACUCUCUUAAGGUAUUUAGAUGCCUCGUAAUAUAAUUAGUGACACACAUGAAUGGAUCAUUAACGAUAUUCCCCAUUGUCCCUAUCUACUAUAUUCUAGAGAAACCACAUCCAAGGGAAUGGGCUUGGAAGAAUUGGCGGGGAAAGAAGACCAUGUUGAGCUUGACUCUAGUCCUAACCCAUUCAUAGU
rfam:Picea glauca, whole genome shotgun sequence.